GACGAACGCUGGCGGCGUGCUUAACACAUGCAAGUCGAACGGAAAGGCCCUGCUUUUGUGGGGUGCUCGAGUGGCGAACGGGUGAGUAACACGUGAGUAACCUGCCCUUGACUUUGGGAUAACUUCAGGAAACUGGGGCUAAUACCGGAUAGGAGCUCCUGCUGCAUGGUGGGGGUUGGAAAGUUUCGGCGGUUGGGGAUGGACUCGCGGCUUAUCAGCUUGUUGGUGGGGUAGUGGCUUACCAAGGCUUUGACGGGUAGCCGGCCUGAGAGGGUGACCGGCCACAUUGGGACUGAGACACGGCCCAGACUCCUACGGGAGGCAGCAGUGGGGAAUAUUGCACAAUGGGCGGAAGCCUGAUGCAGCAACGCCGCGUGCGGGAUGACGGGCUUCGGGUUGUAAACCGCUUUCGCCUGUGACGAAGCGUGAGUGACGGUAAUGGGUAAAGAAGCACCGGCUAACUACGUG
rnacentral:rRNA from 1 species